ACUGUGAAGUCACAAGAGGCCCUGAGCUCUGUGGGCCCCAGGUGCCCCGGGAAAACUUGGGGGAGAAUGGGCAUCCCACCCCAGCACUUUCUAGGAAGAAGGGCAGCAUUUUGAAGGGCUGGAAGUAGAGGAAGGAGGUUGCGGGUAGAAGACUCCAUACUUUCUGUGACGCCUAUUCCUUAGUCAGAGGCAUGGCUUGCCUGGGCCUCUGGGUGCAGCUGCACAGAUUCAAGCAGCCUGAAGGAAAGGUGACUGACAGCUAAUGAUCUGAAAAGAACUUGUCUCAACUCAACGUCAUUCCUGGCAUUAUCGAACAAAGCAAUAAACCUCACAGAAUGGAAGCUACAGUGUCCAGGGCCAGCUCUGCUAAGGUAACCAAAGACAGAGAAGGAGGCAAAAGUGACAGAAGAAACUCAUGGGAAACCAACAGAAAUAUAAUGGCUUUGGCAGAAAUGCAAUUAUCAAUUGGGAGCUUGUGAUGAAUGUUUUCUCAGUAUCCUAUGCUGAAAACAGGUAGAUACUAAUAUCGAUCUUCAAGGGAGGGCUGUUGAGUAUUGAAUAAGACAAAAACAUGGAAGCAAUCAGCACCAUGCUGGAAUCAAGGCUAUCUGUAAUCACAGGGCUAUUUGAAAAAGAGAAGAAAAGGUGUCUUGAAAUUCAACCAACAUGUUUCAAUUAUUUGCUCCUAAGAACAACAGAAGUUUCAACAUUCUGCCAACAGAGUAACUCCUGGAAGAUUGGCACAGAAGAAGGCACAAGGUAAAUACCCAUCUCUGUACACCCCGUGCUACCAUGUCAUGUGCUGCUCCAGGCAACUCCAAUGGAUUGGCCACCCUGGCCAGUGAUAACACAUAAAAAUUCCACUCAGUAUUGGGACCAAUAGAUAAUGAACACAGUCAGUGGAAUUCCUUCGCAGGCUUCUUCAAGAUAUUCUGCAAGACUGAUUUCCCUUCUUCUUGCCAAGAUUUUUUCCUCCUUCUUCUAGGAAGUCAGUGAUAAAAAUAUUUAAGCAGCUUUGUCUGCCUUAGACCUUCCAACUAAAAGUACAGCAAGUGGAAUGGAAUGCUAAUAUGAGGAUCCAAAUUUUCAGGGAAGGAGGAGAGCCUUUAUAUAACCAAAGAUAUUUUUGGACCAUGAAUUCAGAAAUUCUCGGAGCCACCCAUCAGUGCCUGAGCUUCAGUGAGUCCAUAUCCCAUGUCACCCACGGCAAAGGAGACUCUAAGACUUCUGAAGAGUUUCUUGCUUCUUUCCUGUGGGGCAGUGACUCCACUUCCCAGCAGUAAUGGAAUAUCCUGAAUUAGCUACAUUAAUGUUAGAACCAUUUGGACCUCACCCAGGACUUCAACUACAUUAUGGUUAAGACAGAGAAUCUGAAGACUGCAUACCUGACCUCUCGUUUUUACCUACCCACCCACCCACACCCAAAUAUUUCUACUGGACUAUAAUUUAUUGUGACGCCCCCAUUUCCACUGCAGGAUGUUAUAAGAAAUGAGACUCACUACUGAAUUCACAGCAGGCAUGGUUGAAGGCACCAUUCACUAUAGCUUGCAGUGUUCCCUUUAUGAGAUUUGUAUGAGAAAUUCCUCUCAUAGGUCAAGUUCUUGGGAGAAAAUUCUCCCAAAGAGCAAGUCCCAGGAAAAUCUUGGCUGCUAAAGUUACAGAACCCAAAUUUGGCAACUGUCUGCAUCUGAACAACAGAAGUUUCAACAUUCUGCCAACAGAGUAACUCCUGGACGAUUGGCACAGAAGAAGGCACAAGGCAAAUACCCAUCUCUGUACACCCUGUGCUACUGUGUCAUGUGCUGCUCCAGGCAACUCCAAUGGAUUGGCCACCCUGGCCAAUGUGUUCUAGUAUGUUACGUUUAUGUUCCCCUGCUUUCUACAAUCCUGUUCAAAGAGUUGCUGACUUAACCACAGAGAGGAUUCCAGAACCUGAGACACAGAAUAAACUUGAGCAAUCAUAGUCCAUCCACUUCAUUGUCUCAUCAAAAACCAAAGGUCCAGUGAAGCUCUGGAACUCAACGCUGUAAAGGAGCGAAGGAGCUUCUAUACAGAGCCUGGAUGCCUGUCUCCUUAUCCUACUUCAGUGGACUUGACUGCAAUCCGGAUUAUGCUGUUUUCUAAGCAUUUAAAAUAAAAUAAAAAGUAUAAUAGUGUGAUAAGUUCUUUCACAAAGCAAGCAAUCACAUUUAUGUUUCUACUUACAUUUGGGUUUUCCAAAUAUGUGUGUGUGUGUGUGUGUGUGUGUGUGUGUGUGUAUGUAGACUUUAAACAUGGUGCAUCCAUCAUGUUGCACUAAAUCAAAACCACCAAAUAAUGAUGUAGAACUAAUAAAUCAAAACCAUCAAAUAAUGACAUAGAAAUCCAAUUCUCCCACCUUACACCCAUUAAGAUGGCUACU
rnacentral:lncRNA from 1 species